rnacentral:tRNA from 1 species
GGCUCCGUAGUGUAGCGGUCAGAACGUCUGCUUUACACACGGAAGGUUCUCGGUUCGUGCCCCAGGUGGAGCCA